rnacentral:rRNA from 1 species
AACGAACGUUAGCGGCGCGCCUAACACAUGCAAGUCGAGCGAGAAAGGGGCUUCGGCCCCCGGUAAAGCGGCGCACGGGUGAGUAACACGUGGAUAACCUACCCCUUGGUGGUGGAUAACCUUCCGAAAGGAGGGCUAAUACAGCGUAAGACCACGACUUCGAAAGAGGUUGAGGUAAAAGUGGGCCUCUGUACACAAGCUCACGCCAGGGGAUGGGUCCGCGGCCCAUCAGCUAGUUGGUAGGGUAACGGCCUACCAAGGCGAAGACGGGUAGCUGGUCUGAGAGGAUGAUCAGCCACACUGGAACUGAGACACGGUCCAGACUCCUACGGGAGGCAGCAUGGGGAAGUCUUGCGCAAUGGACGAAAGUACUGACGCAGCGACGCCGCGUGAGUGAUG